UGGAGAGUUUGAUCCUGGCUCAGAUUGAACGCUGGCGGCAGGCCUAACACAUGCAAGUCGAACGGUAACAGGAAGCAGCUUGCUGCUUYGCUGACGAGUGGCGGACGGGUGAGUAAUGUCUGGGAAACUGCCUGAUGGAGGGGGAUAACUACUGGAAACGGUAGCUAAUACCGCAUAACGUCGCAAGACCAAAGAGGGGGACCUUCGGGCCUCUUGCCAUCAGAUGUGCCCAGAUGGGAUUAGCUWGUUGGUGGGGUAACGGCUCACCAAGGCGACGAUCCCUAGCUGGUCUGAGAGGAUGACCAGCCACACUGGAACUGAGACACGGUCCAGACUCCUACGGGAGGCAGCAGUGGGGAAUAUUGCACAAUGGGCGCAAGCCUGAUGCAGCCAUGCCGCGUGUAUGAAGAAGGCCUUCGGGUUGUAAAGUACUUUCAGCGGGGAGGAAGGUGUUGUGGUUAAUAACCGCAGCAAUUGACGUUACCCGCAGAAGAAGCACCGGCUAACUCCGUGCCAGCAGCCGCGGUA
rnacentral:rRNA from 1 species